rnacentral:rRNA from 1 species
CCUACGGGAGGCAGCAGUGGGGAAUAUUGCACAAUGGGCGCAAGCCUGAUGCAGCGACGCCGCGUGCGGGAUGGAGGCCUUCGGGUUGUAAACCGCUUUUGUUCAAGGGCAAGGCACGGUCUUUGGCCGGGUUGAGUGGAUUGUUCGUAUACGCACCGGCUAAGUACGUGCGAGCAGCCGCGGUAUUACGUAGGGUGUAAGCGUGAUCCGGAUUUAUUGGGCGUAAAGGGCGAGUAGGCGGUUCGUCGCGUCCGGUGUGAAAGUCUAUCGCUUAACGGUGGAUCCGCGCCGGGUACGGGCGGUCUUGAGUGCGGUAGAGGAGACUGGAAUUCCCGGUGUAGCGGUGGAAUGUGUAGAUAUCGGGAAGAACACCAAUGGCGAAGGCAGGUCGCUGGGCCGUUACUGACGCUGAGGAGCGAAAGCGUGGGGAGCGAACAGGAUUAGAUACCCCAGUAGUC